AACGCUGGCGGCGCGCUUAACACAUGCAAGUCGAACGAGAAAGGGAGCAAUCCUGAGUAAAGUGGCGUACUGGUGAGUAACACGUGGAUAUCUACCUCCUGGUGGGGAAUAACCUGGGGAAACCUGGGCUAAUACCGCAUAAGUUCGAGAGAAGAAAGGCGCAAGUCGCCGGGAGAGGAGUCCGCGGUCGAUUAGGUAGUUGGCGGGGUAAAAGCCCACCAAGCCAAAGAUCGAUAGCCGGCCUGAGAGGGCACACGGCCACACUGGCACUGAAACACGGGCCAGACUCCUACGGGAGGCAGCAGUGGGGAAUCUUGCACAAUGGGGGAAACCCUGAUGCAGCGACGCCGCGUGAGCGAUGAAGCCCUUCGGGGUGUAAAGCUCUUUCGGCAGGAACGAUAAUGACGGUACCUGCAGAAGAAG
rnacentral:rRNA from 1 species